rnacentral:rRNA from 1 species
GACAGAGGGUGCAAACGUUGUUCGGAAUUACUGGGCGUAAAGCGUGCGCAGGCGGUUGUGCAAGACAGAUGUGAAAUCCCCGGGCUUAACCUGGGAAUUGCAUUUGUGACUGCACGGCUAGAGUGUGUCAGAGGGGGGUAGAAUUCCACGUGUAGCAGUGAAAUGCGUAGAUAUGUGGAGGAAUACCGAUGGCGAAGGCAGCCCCCUGGGAUAACACUGACGCUCAUGCACGAAAGCGUGGGGAGCAAACAGG